UCGAACGGCAGCACGGGUGCUUCACCUGGUGGCGAGUGGCGAACGGGUGAGUAAUACAUCGGAACAUGUCCUGUAGUGGGGGAUAGCCCGGCGAAAGCCGGAUUAAUACCGCAUACGAUCCACGGAUGAAAGCGGGGGACCUUCGGGCCUCGCGCUAUAGGGUUGGCCGAUGGCUGAUUAGCUAGUUGGUGGGGUAAAGGCCCACCAAGGCGACGAUCAGUAGCUGGUCUGAGAGGACGACCAGCCACACUGGGACUGAGACACGGCCCAG
rnacentral:rRNA from 1 species